rnacentral:rRNA from 1 species
AGUGAACGCUGGCGGUAGGCCUAACACAUGCAAGUCGAACGGCAGCACAGUAAGAGCUUGCUCUUACGGGUGGCGAGUGGCGGACGGGUGAGGAAUACACCGGAAUACACUUUUUAGUGGGGGAUAACGUAGGGAAACUUACGCUAACAACGCAUACGACCUACGGGUGAAAGCAGGGGAUCUUCGGACCUUGCGCGAUUGAAUAAGCCGAUGUCGGAUUAGUUAGUUGGCGGGGUAAAGGCCCACCAAGGCUACGAUCCGAAGCUGGUCCGAGAGGAUGAUCAGCCACACUGGAAGAGAGGCACGUUCCAGACACCUGCGGGAAGCAGCAGUGGGGAAUAUUGGACGAUGGAGGCAAGCCUAAUCCAGCCAUACCGCGUGAGUGAAGAAGGCCUUCGGGUUGUAAAGCCCUUUUGUUGGGAAAGAAAAGCAGCAGGUUAAUACCCCGCUGUUCUGACGGUACCCAAAGAAUAAGCACCGGCUAACUUCGUG